GCCUUUGUAGCUCAUCGGUAGAGCGCGUAGUUGAAGUUUACGAGGGCGUGGUUCGACUCCUCGCAGAGGCA
rnacentral:tRNA from 1 species